rnacentral:lncRNA from 1 species
CCAAACUGUCAGUAAUUUUGCUGAGAAUAGACAUCAGCGGGAGGGCUGCUCUUACACUGCGAGAGCUGGCACCGAGCUGUCAGCGGUACGAGCUGUCUGCUGGUCGCUCAGUGCUGCCUGCUUGGAAAGGGGAGCAGACAAAGGUCCAGACCUUGGCAAUGUGACAUGCAUCUCAGCUUGAAGGCCAGAUCACUGCCAUGGACCCCCAUACCCACAUGGCUGGAGCUGCUGCAGUGGGAGGAGAAGCUGGUGAACCCUGCGCUUGGCGAACAGUGUUAGCAGCAAGAACUGGCAAAGGGGAAAGCAAAGAUACAAAGUGCAGAGAGACGGGGUAACAUUUACAUGAGAAACAAUCCGCUCUCCGGCACCCACCCAC